rnacentral:lncRNA from 1 species
AUGAGUCUUUCAGUCUACAGCAAGCAGCCACUUACUGAAAAUGUGCCAUUGAUGCUGUUACUCUCUUGGAAGGGACCCAACAUGAUGCCUGAAAUAGGAUACAGGUUAGCCCCACUUCAGGAGUUUCCUGACACGCUGGGUGUGUUCUCUUUAAAACAUGGCUAAGGCACUUAGCCUAAUGACAUACAUAUUUGCCCCAACUUUAUAUGAAAGACAGUGGAGGGUGGUAGAAAAUUCUGGAGUUUGGAUGAAGAUGCAUCUGGGUUCAAAUAUUGGCCUCACUGUAUAUACAACGUGUGCCUCGGGCAAGUCACAGAGGAAUACUGGCCCCCAGUGCCCAAAGGGGAAGGUGGCAAUGACUUCCUGAGGAAACUUCAUAGAAUUGUGUGCACUCUGAAGUAGGCAAGAUGGAGCAUGUAAGAAUUCCUGUAAUCAUCCCAUAAGAUGGCUGACAGAGUUUUAUUUGGUCUCCAUGUGGGUUCCACAGUUUGAAAAAUAAAUGUUUCGGAAUUCAGAAUUCAUAAACUAGACAAGCAGCGUGGAGAUGAAGACCAUUGACACUAUGGGGUCUGCUAUAGUUUGAAGGUUUGAAUGUGUUCCCCAAAGUUUAUGUGUCGGAAACUUAAUCCCCAAUGAUACAAUGUUAAGGGAAAGGACUUUUAAGAAGUGAUUAGGUCAUGAGGGUUCUACCCUCAUGAAUAAAUUAAUGUCCUCAUGGUUGGAGUGGAUUUCUGAUUAAAAAAAUAAAAAUAAAAAUAAAAAUAAAGAAUUCUGCC